AUAGGCUGUUUUAUUCUGCACGCUGUUAUGCUGGGUCGUGUCUUGCGGUUAAGUUGCUGGUUUAGUUGCAGUGUUUGGUAACUGGGCCAGUAGGUCCCCCACAUUUUGUAUAUUAAGUCCGUGCGCCUGCGGUUAUUUGUAUAAUUAGCACAUUUGAGUGUCUUUUCUGGGACUUUUGGUGGGGUCUCAGACUGGCAGGACAAGCACAAAUGAACAUGUGUUUUGAACGCGUUUAUUUGGAGGAAUCUAUCUCGUGUUCACAUGAAGGUGGAAAAUCCAACAAACGAGUCCAUCUCUUUUGCUUGUUUUGGGGCACUAGUGACUCUGUAUGCUUUGUAUGGGUUGCACAGGACGGAUGCGCCGUAAGCUCACUAUCCAGUCUUAUAUGCAGACGCUCAGUGUGACUGCGGGUUAUUCCAGCCCAGCAGGAGAUAACUCUUUUUGAGGAACUGAGUAAAGGGGCAAAAUUGCCACAAUAGAUAAUGUGAACAUUGCUACAUCUCUUAUAAACAUGCCUACUCACCUUCUAUAGUGUUACAGUAUGAUUUCUUUCCCGUUAAAAGGCUCAGGAAAGCCCUUUCUGAUUAUGUAUCUUGAAGGUGGGAGGAGCUUUUGAAAAACUACAAUGCAUGAGAUCUGCCCUGGGCUGUAUUUUUUCCCCCUGUCUAGCUGGUGAAUGCAGUAGAAAGUCAGGUAGCUAACGUUAGUGUUAAGACCCCAAAUAUUCUGUAUUUAUUUAGAAGCCCCUGUGCUGUGGGGGAUUACCCGUGGCUGUAUGCUGUAGUGAGAAAAAUUGAUAGGUGAAACAUAAAAUGGAUAUAGAAUCAUUCAUUCUUGAACAGGCCUGUUAACAAACUGAAGUAAGGUUUCUAAUACUUGGCUAGAAUAUAACCUCCCAGCUACACUUGCCCUUGAUUGGAUCACCAUUGUUGUAACAUGAUGGUGAGCAUACUCAGUGAAUGCACAAGAAGGAGCAAUAAAGUCCAAAAUGUGGCAAAGUACAUCUGUUAGGUGUUAGUGAAUGUUUAGUGUUUAAGUAUGAAAAUUGGUUCAUGAUGCUGAGAUGGAACAGAACGGGAAGUUAAAAAAAAAAAUUCUAGAAUGAGUAGAUCAGUGAAGGACGAGAAGAUUCCUGGGAGAAAGACCACUACGAGAGAGGAUAGACUUUUGGUCAGAAAGAGCAAGUCUGAUCGUGAUGAAGAAAAACCCUACCAAUGGACAACAUGGACCUUUAGAUCAGGCAAAACAUUAUAAAGGCAAUGUGAGGUCCUUUGUGUCGACACUCAUCUCUGUUGUGAUGGCAUCAGUGUAUUAUUUGACAUCUUUCUAGAAGAUACAGAACCAGUCAAAAGUUUCAAUACCCCUGACUGUAUGAUGAAUUAUGCUUCAACUAUAAACCUGCAUAGAAUGGCUUAAUUUUGGUGUUUAGUGGAUAAACAAAAGAGAAAAAAAAAUGUAAGAACAUUUUAGACCUCCAUGAUAUGGACAACAAAAGCAAGAGGAUUUCCCUCUGAAGCCCUGAUUAGUUAUGCUUGAAUUGUACUGUGUAUUACAGUAUUGGAAGACCAAGUGUCUUUGUUAUCUGUCCUACAAGUGAAUUAUCAUGUUACCCUUUAACCGUUAAUCUUUCCUUAGCAGUUACUAAAACUAACGAGGGUUCGUUUCUAUAAAUACACUUAAUAAUAUAAUAGAAACAUAAGCAGCAAAAAUCCAUCGUUGACACUCUGAAUGUAAAGGGAACAAAAAAUGGCAAAACGCACUCAGUUAAGCAGAGAAAAAAGAGAGUCUGUAAUUACAUUAAGAAAGGAAGGCCAAACAUUAAGACAAAUUGCAAAAGCGUUGCAAGUCUCUGUAAGCGCUGUGGCUAAGACCAUCAAACGAGUUGAAGAAACUGGUACUCAUGAAGACCGAGCGAGGUCAGGGAGGCCAAAGGUGACAUCAGAAUCGGAAAACAAGUUUAUUCGAGUCAUAAGCCUACGAGAUGGUCAAUUAAGUGCCCCUAAAAUACAAGCUCAGCUCAAUGCCACUAGAACAUCAGUUGUAUCAAUAUCAACGAUCCAAAGAAGACUGCGUGAAGCUGGCUUAGCUAGAGGGCAGAAACCCAGAAAGAGAACUGCUCAGGCCAAAACAGCCGAGAAAGUAGAGAACCGCAACAUGGAAGUCGAGUCCACUGUAUAGAUUAGCUAUCAAAAGUUUGGACACGCCUGACUGAAUGCAUGUCUUUGAAAAUUGAAGACAUUUUGAUCUAAAGGCUUAUGCUAAAAUUCUUAAUGAUUUCUAAAUUAUUUUGAUCUUGGGUGGCUCUUCAUGAAGCUAAUUGAGAAAAUGUCAAGACAUUUACAUUUAUGGCAUUUAGCAGACACAGUGUGCAAAGCUGCAUCAAAGCAAAAGGGGGCUGCUCUGAAGAAUGUUUCAGAGGAUAGUUUUGAUUUUGUUUACGUUUGGUCUCCACCUAAUUUCAUGUGUGUAGUUUAUAGUGACAGUUCACAGCUUCACUAUAAGUUCUAUAUGGAACAUUCAAAUGAAGGAAAAUUUAUCUAUAAAGGGGUGUGUCCAAACCUUUUGACUAGCACCUACAGACAUAGAAUGAGUGUGUGAGCAUGUUCUACAGUUGCUGUUCCCACAUGUAGCCCUUCUUCACUGACAAGGCGCCACUGCUGUUUUUUUUUUUUUGUUAUUUUUAAGCUCAGUUUAGGUUUUUUAGCAUGUCUUGUAUUUCUGUGUACACAUUGGCUUUCCUUUGAAAACUUUAUUUAUUUUAUAUAUAUAUAUUUUUUUUUCUUUUUAGAUAUUUCUUCCACAAAUCACUGGGGAUUAUGCUGUUUUCACUCAUUUGGAAAAUUAUAUAGCUUAGUAACAUUACUUAAGUGAACUGUUCACAAAGUCAGCAUUCAACACAAUGUUAACAAACCAUGUGGCUGCACUUAGUAAUCGGGGCUUAGUAAAUAUGUUGCUCUCUCAAAGUUACUUUUAACAGUAACGGUUUCCAGAAUAGAAUAGAACUGAAGACAUAAUUGAACUCCAGUAAAAACAAAAAUAGUAUUUUAUUACAAAACAAAAUUUUAAAAUACUCAUUUUUUUUCUUUUGAAAAUAGUAGAUCAACUCUUGAUCAGUUUUACUCCCAGGCCAGCAGAUUUUAUGAGGCCAGAAUUUGGCCAGCUAAGAACCUUUUUGUUUGUUUGAGCUUAGGCCCUGGUACAUUUGUUGGUGAAAAAGAGGUAGGAGCGCAAUGACUUUGGUGGUUAAAGGCAUUUUUCAGUGAACAUGGUUAUUAUAUCGUACUUCAGACAGGGUCAUCCUGUUUCAUAAGGAUCUGUGCUUUCUGGGUGCUCCUUUUGUCUUGAUCAUGCUGAAAACACAAAAUACACCUCAAAAUUAAAUAAUAGCUUACUAGUCUGGCAAAGAAAGAAUGUGGAGAAUAACUUAAAGUAAUGACCUGGCCUGCCUGGUUUCCAGACUGCAAUAUCCAGUAUCAUUUUUCAACUGAAUGCAAAAGGUGCCUUUUCCAAGAUGAAGGCACAGUUUUCAAUGCCGUUUUCACCAUUUUGAAUACCUCUGAUGAUUUCUAUACUGUACAAAGUUUAAAGUAAACUUAAAACUUACACUGUACAAUAUCUAGCAAGUGUACUUUUGACUGGUACUGUACUGUCAUGCUUCUUGAAGUAGACAGCCACGUCUUUGAGUUCAUGCUUUGGCCAGGAUGAUGGAAGCCUUUGUUAUGGGCCCGCUGUAGCUGUCUCUUAGAAAACUACAGAUGACAUCAAAGAGAAUGCCUUCAGAGCUUUGGACUCAUUGACAAUUCCCUUGAGGAAGUCUCUCUGGGGUCCCGUAUAAAGACUGAUUCUUAGCAUUCCAUUCUGAAAAUGCCCUCUCAGUCUGUCUACGUCCCUUUCCAACAUAUACUUUCACAAGUCUUUCACAGUCCGCACUGUUGCUAAGCAGAAUUCUGGUCAACCUUUGCAUCCACUAUCUUCACUAACUACCCUGGUAGAUCAGGUAUGGCUGAACUAGUCUCUUGUGUGUUGAGAUGGAGAUUAAGUCUGAAACAUCUUCUCCAGUUCCUUUCUCCCUGCUCUUUCUCAAGAUCGGUGUAGAAGAACCACUUUAGGAAGAUGGAAACAGUUGCUAUGUGGCACAGGCAGAAGAAGCAGAGUAGAGAGAUCUGUUGUCAGAGUACAUGGAGGUGAAGCAAAGCAACAGGGAGCUAGUGGUGAAAACCUGACCUGCUGGACAAGGUUUAUGGAGCAAGAGAACCCAAAAUGGUCCAGCCUGUAACAUGAAGAAUAGGAGCUCAGCCAGAGCCCCUUGUAGACCUCUCACCCUUUGUGGUUCACCCCUGGGCACAGAGAGGAAAAAAGGAGUUUAUUUCUCUUUUAUCUGAAAGUUAACUUUGAUGUUCCAGCAAUGGACAACAUCAGGAGCCCAGUUCACUGAAUUAAGGACAUCUAAAAUAAGUACAUCAGGCAAGUGGCAUUCAAUGACAGAGUUUACCACAAAGCCUAAAAUGUCUAAAAAGACAUUUUGCCUCACACAUUUAAAACUGGGAAGUUCACAAGACACCAAUAGCAUACUGAGACAUAAAAUAUGUGAUUUGUAUGAUGUUUGUACACUUCAUGAAUGUGUAUUGCAUCUGAUUUGUUGGACUGUGUAUGACAUUCUUUAGCUGUGUCAGUUGGUGUCAUGCAUGGUAAAGUCAUUUUUAGAAAAGGUUUCAUGAAUGUAAAACACCACAGUUUCAUGAUUUGGAUGUUUCCUUAUGUUGCCUCCAAGGAAUACUGUCUAGGAAGUGUGAACAAGAAUUUCAGAAUUCGUCUUUGAGUUGUGAAUUGGAUUUCCAGCCACCGUUCCUUCAAAAGCUUCAAAUAUCUGACUUCAGUCAUGUGGACUGUCUGUUUGAUCGCCACUGAUAGCUUGUGGACAGUUGAGUCAUAAGACUUUCUCCACAAACUCUAGACAAGCAGACUUGACUGAAGACAUGGCCUUUGCCGCACACCAUCUUGGACAUAACUAUGUAGGUUUUCUGCUUACCUUCUGCCUUCUCCAAAGUUAGCAUGUCUGGCUAUGUAAGUGUCUUGUUAAAUGUGUCUACUACAGCUUAGCUGAUUUUCUGUCUCAGAAUCUGCUGCUGUUGUUUGCCCGUUUAAACCUUUAGAUCAGGGGUGUCCAGUCUUAUGUACAAAUGACCAGUGUGGCUGUAGGCUUUCACACCAACAAAGCAGGAGGUUACCACUUGCAAAGACUCUUUGCAGAUUGGACACCCCUGUUUUAAAUCAUCUGAAUCACAUAGGCCUGAACUGUCUCUUAAUUCAUGAUCGUGUUAAUUUAAUAUUUUGCCAUCCAGUUUCACACUGUUGCUGUUACUUCACUGUAUCAUCUUCUGUCUCCCUGUCUUUGUGUUUAUUCUUAUAUACUGUAUUCUGUUUUGCUAUGUAUUCUUAUUAUUAAAGUUUGUGUGUUUUCAUUA